UUACACUUCCACACUGCUGUUCAUCACCAAAGGAUGUCAGGACUGAAACUCAAGCAGGUCAGGAAGCAGGAGCUGAUGCAGAGGCCAUGGAGGGAUGUCCCUUACAGGUUUGCUUCUCCUGGCUUUUUCAGCCUGCUUUCUUACAGAACCUGGGACUACCAGCCCAGGGAUGGCGCCACCCACAAUGGGCCCUCCCACCCUUGAUCACUAAUUGAAAAAAAUGCCCCACAGCUGGAUCUCAUGGAGGCAUUUCCUCCCUUGAAGUAUCACAGUAACACAGGGUUGAUACUGUUGUUCUUCCUAUGGGGUUUCAAACCUUUCAGCUCCUUCAGUCGUUCCCCUAACUCCUCCAUUGGGGACCCUGUGUUCAGCCCAAUGCUUGGCUGCGAGCAUCUGCUCCUUUCUCUGUGGUAACUCCAGCUUGUGUCAAGUUGACACACAAAACCAGCCAGUACAGCUACUAUUCUUUAAUUUCUAAUUUUUGGGUCAUCUCCCAGUUAUCUUUCGGAUGUUGAGAGAUUCCCCUGUAGUCAAAAGCAUGGUCUGUAUGACUUCAUUAAUUUUCAGCUUACUCAUGCAUAUUUCAUAGUCUGGGAGAUGAUGAGUCUGAACAGUGUAUCUGCCUCGGAAAAUUACACGCUCACUCCUCUUGUUGGAUGAAGCAGUCCACAGGCAUUAACUCCACAAAAGUGCACAAGUCUCUGGUAUUUUUGCUGAUGUUCUGUGCCCUUUCUGCCAGUGACUGGGAGGGGAGUGCUGAUCUCUGAGCGAUGAUGGUGGGUGUGUUUAUUUUCCCCUCCAGUGGUAUCACAUCUCUACACACACACGGAUCACGUACUUGGAAGCUUUACUGCCAGCUCAUCCACACUCAGGACUGUCUUCCCGGUGAGUGUAUCACCGGCUGGAGUUGUGUUUUUCUGACAAAUGGGGAUCCCUGCCACUGGGUAAUGGCUUGUUUUGUCUCCUGGAUUAUGAAGUCUGUGUGGGAUUGGUAGUCUCUCUCCAGAGCGUUUUAAUCAGUGCUCAGUGUAACUUUUAACUUUUUUUUAAGAUUUAUUUUUAUUUUAUUUCAUGUAUAUAAGUAUACUGUUGCUUUCUUCAAACACACCAAAAGAGGGCAUCAGAUCUUAUUACAGAUGUGGUUGCUGGGAAUUGAUCUCAGGGCCUCUGGAAGAGCAGUCAGUGCUCUUAACCACUGAGCCAUCUCUCCAGACCUGUAACUUCCUACUUUUAACCUUCAUCUCUCAACCUAAGAUUCAUUUCCUUUAGAAGUAUUCUAUUUAGAUUUUCUUCUUCUGAUUGAUCUUUCUUAAUAAGUAUGUUUAGCAGCUUUGUAAGUAAUGCAAUCAUUCAGGGGACUGAAUUUAAAUUUACAGUAUUGAUACUCACCCCAUGGUGUUUUGUUCUGUUAUUCCUGUUCGGGUUUUUUUUUUUUCUUCCUUUUUUCAUUAAAUGGGAUUUUUAAAAUU
rnacentral:lncRNA from 1 species